CUCCUAAUGUUUCUUUAUUAACUUUCAGACUUCUGAUGAUGCACGUAUUGUCUUCACAAACACAGUACGAAGUAAUUUCUCGACUGUGCUCGCAAGAACCUUUAUCAGUACAAUAUUUGUUUGCCAAUAAUCUUCUAGUUACGUGGAAUAAGGGCCUAAUGGGGAGAACAAGAUCGCUGUUGACAUCAGGUAAUUUUUUUCCUAAGUGGUGCUAUUGGACCGUUCUGCUUAAAGAUUUCCAAGGAGAGCCAGCCAAGUGAAGUCUAGUGAUAUUUCUGACCAAAGAGUGCCGUUCCAGCUGAGCCCAUCUGGAUCUACCUGUCCAUCACCCACGGACAGCUGACGUUGUCCAGGGCAGACACAGGGUUUUCAGGCUUGGACUGUCUCAGUCCCACAUCUGCUGUCUGACUCUACCCUGCACCUCCUGUCUGGCUUUGAGCAAAUGGCUUCAUCUUGCUGUGCAUCAUCUGCGGUAAUGAGGAGCGAGGCUAACAGGGUUUGCUUCGGUCUGUUUCAGACUGCCACAAAUUUUCUGUAAAUCUUCCAGGAUCCUGUAGAUCAAAGUCUCACAGUCAGAGAGUUCUUGAAUUGCUGCAGGGAGCAUGAUGAACACUGGACAGACGCAUCCCCUCAGGGGAGGACAGACAAGUCCUAAGCCGGCCAUAAAGGCUCCUCCUCAUGAACUGAGUAGAAUUGGGCUUUUAAUUUAUGGCUUUGCUGAAUGGGGCUCUGGAACAAACUCAGCUUCAUGUAUCAUCUGGCAAAUGAAAACAACAGAAGCACAGACCUACCCUAAUCCAAUUCAGCACUGGGGUAAGGAAGGAUGCUAUGGCACCAUAGCAAGGAGGGCAUAUUCCAUAGUGACCACUACUAAGAGAGUAUUGUUUGAGCCAGCUUGUUCAGAAAGAAAGAGUGGAAAAGAGGGAAAUUACUACUGAAUGCCAAAUCUACAAAUAACAGUAACAGAUACAGUACCGGAUCAAUAGCCCUGCAUCUCUCUUUGCAGGGCCAGAAUUGCUUCUGAUCUGUCUGCUCACAGCAGAACUGUUCCAGUUUUGUCAUGAAGAGCAAAGCUUGUACUAAUCAUACUCUGUAAUAGCCACAGCGGUUGUCCCUGGGUCUGCCAUUCACCAAAAUUUAAUCUUGAUUGCUGAGAAUUUUCAUUGCAUGUAGAAAGUUGUUCCACAUGAGAGCAAGCACUGACAAACAAAACAAAACAAAAAAAACCCUAUACUUCUUUAUAAUAUAUAUUAAUAAAUAUGUGUGUGUGUGUGUGUGUAUACAUGCUAAAGUAUCUUCUAGUAUAUCUUUUAGCACCCUAAUAUUUCAUAGUCUAAUACAUAGCAGUAACCUUUCCCAUACAGGAUGUGACCAGCAAAUGUAUUGGCGUUGCUGGUAAGAACUCUGAAAUGUAACUGCAGUUGGAAGAGUUUGUAAAAACCCAAUGGUAUGAAACAAAAAUUUUCAGGCUUAAACCCCAUAAAUUUCUUUCGUUGUUCUUUUUGCUGAGUGUACCCACCUAUAUGACUGACAGUAUAUGUGAUUAGGAGUUAAUUCUCAGACAUAAUGUUCAUAUCUCUUUGUGAAUGGUACUGAGUUCUUACAAAUCUUUUGAUUUGGAGAGGGAGAAAAUGAACUAUGGUGUAGCUAUACCCAUGCAAGUUGCUGCAGGCUGUCUGCAGGCUCAGGCCACUGCUGUCCUCAAAUGACUUUGAACCAGCCUGUCUACAAAAACAAAGUUAGUGUUCCACUGCAAGUCCUCUCAGUAGCAGAUACUCCUGCUUUGGCUUCAGGACAAGUUGCGUCUUGUGUCUCUGGUGUACAUGAUGUAUUGGUUUGCAUACAUAGGUGUUAGAGCUCUUUCUUGAAAAAAAAAAUAGCUCCUCUGUAGGGCCUCACAGAGCUCUGUGGUAACCUUCUGGUGACCUUUUGUUUCUAAACAAGUGUUUUUGUGUAUGGAUGCAGUUUUUUUUUUUUUUUUUAAGAAGCAUAUGCAAGUCUGAUGAUUUGCAAUUUCUUUUAUUAGCCUUGUACUAACCAUGACGGAAUGACCGGAAAUAAAGGACAUACAGUUCACACUGUAUCUUAUAGUUCCAUUAAGUAGACAAUGGGGAAGCAAUUUGAAGUAAGUGAUUUGUAAGGCAGUUAAUUUAAAACAUAAUUUCUUAGACAGCUUGGUGAAAUUCACCAGUAUGUUUUUAAAGAAAAAAAACAAACAUCAACAGCAACAAAAAUACAACUUGAUGAUGCUUUGAAGUUUGGUUCUUACCACAGUUUGAGUAGAUUAAAAUUUAAAUCUACUGUAAUCCCAAAAACUUGAGUGUAUUUGUGCACAUGUUGUGAAGGGGCAUGAUUUCUUUACGUGUGUACUCUUAUGGAUUAGCAUGUACAGGCACAACCCAGCCCGAUGUUCCUGUGUGACUAAUGAGUAUAGCCUCCUGACCUGUUUCAAUGACUGGGAGCUACCAGGCCUUCCUGUGCACAAACCAUGAUCAAAACUGAAGCUACAAGUUUGUGAUGCAUUUGGUUGACAGCUUACUGGUAGAGCAACCAGCUCUAAUUGCAUUCCGGUUACUCCUGAGUGCUCCUUUUCAAUCUAUCUAUCACGAUGCUGCCAAAGACAGAAAUAAGCUACAGAACUGCACAACGGCAGCAGUAUGUAUUUGAUAUUCUGACCCUUGCUUCCCCUUGCAGCCCUCCAUGGUACUCCCAAGUUCAAUCACCUGAUGUAGCACUUGAUCCUUAGCUCCUUUCCCCCACAGAUAAACACUGAAGCGGUAAUUCCUGCUGCAGGAAUGUUCUUUCAUAAAUGCUUUUGAAGUGAGGAAACCUGAUCUCUUUUAAGAUAAUAUAUUAUUAGUUAGAUUUCAUUGGAAGAGGAUCCUCUAUAAACCCUGCCUAUUGUUUUCUCUCCAGACUAAAAGUUCAGUCAACUGAAACCUCAGUCCUUGGGAGUGCUGGUGAUACUUUUAAUCAUAAGUGGAAUAUUUAGAAAACUUUUCUUUCGUCUAAUAAGACCAUCCCCUUCUCUGUCAGCUCAGCUGACUUAUGACACUUUCACAACUUGGAAAUAACCUCAUGAUCUGCUGAUUUCUCUGUCAUGUCUUCUAGUAUUUGGUCUAAAUUAUCACUAGAUUAAUUAUCACUAAAUUAUCACUAUCACAAGAAAAUCUAACUAAAGCUUAUUUUGCUGAAGUCUGUGGUUUUUACUUUCAUAUAAAGUUGAAGGUGUCAGAACUAAUGUUUUUGAUGGUUCAGUAUUUACUUUAGUCCUGACCCAUGUAGUUCAUUAAGACUAGCUGAAAUAUAAAUGCUAUAGUUUACUGCAGCUAUAGUGUGGUUUUUUGAAUUUUUUUUAACCUAUAAGAAAGGUAUCUAACUAUCAACAGACAGUUUUCACAUUUGUUUUGAUCAAGAAGAGUUUCCAUGCAAUAACAUUAUUUUUUUGCCCUGUGAAAUUGACCUGUUCUGUCUUGCUACUCCAUAGGUCUAUGGUCAACAAAGGGAGUACAGUUGGACUGAUUAAAACUAUACUGACUGAUUACAACUAUACUAACUAUACUAUAAAACUAUACUGAAGGUAUUUAUAUCCCAGUACCUGGGCCGGAGCAUCAAACAUUCCCCCAGAACAUAUGCAGUACCCACCCACCACAACUUCUAUGGUUGUAACCGGGUAGGCGGGCAAUUAUGCUGAAAUUGAGACAUCUGACCCGAUGCAAAUGUGGACUAUCCUACCAUAAAAACCUUCCCAUACUGAAGAUAGAAUGAUACAGAAACAACCCUAAACACCAAAAUUCACAAUUGCAGCCGAUUCUCUUACAGAAUGUAUAGCAGAAGUUCUAAAAGCUUAAACAUGGCUACUAUCAAAAACUUUGCAAAGGAGAAUCUGACUCCUACAUCACUGCAAGUUUAUAGGUUAUGUCUUUUUUUUUUAAUGACAGAAGAAGAGUCUUGUUGAAGGGAAAAGGCUUUUAGAGGAGAUGUAUAACCACAGAGAUAUUAAGUAAAGUUUCAAGUCUCCUUAUGGGCCUAAGCUGAAAAAGUGAACUCAGGAGGUAUUAAAAAGAACUUCUGUUGAGGUCUCUGUUGUUUGGAAACAUUUUGCUCUCAAAUCUGUGCAGUGUAAAUUGCUUAUGAGGCUUUGUGGGCAGAUCUCAGCUGUUUAUUUUGCACACUGCUAAAUAUGAACUCUCAAGCCUUAGUAAAUCUACUUGCAAAUGUGCUUCGGAAACAUUUGUAAUUUUUUUCCUCUAAAUCUCCAUGUAAAAAGAAUUUCCAGACACAAACAACUGUCAGAGAAAAACAACUGUGAUUUGUUGGGGUGUGAAACUAGAGAGUGCCUAAAUUAUUUGCCUUUAUUAGAAAGCAUGUUGGCAAACAGACUGCACCUUUUAUGACCUCAGGAAGAAAUCUGCUUUAUUUCAUGCACAGUUAGCAGCUUACAGGAGAUAGUCUGCACAUCUCACCGACAGCUUUGGCAUUUGAUACAGGUUUUGCUUCAGACUGGGGGACAGAAGUGAAUUACACUACCACAAGAAUCAAUUUACACUUCACUCUUCUGAAAACUUCAGUGUCAGUGUCAUGUACAGAACAAUACCAGACCAGAGACAGUCGCUCAUUUUCCAUUUAUGAGCAACCAGAAUGAAGUUUCAUUCAUUUUGGACUUAAGCCAGUAGAAAAGAGCCUCUACAGUUGUUCACUGACAGUAUUCUCCAAGACUUUUUGGCUUGUGUAGGGCAAUGGUACUAAGCCAAAUGGUGAGAUUUCAAUUUGCUGGAUCCCACUGAAUGGCAGAAUGGGCUAGCUAGCUCAGGGCCUACUCACGCCUAUGCACUAAAGCAUUACAGAAGCAGCAGACUCUUCCCUGAAUAGACCAAAUGACCAGAUGAGAUUCAGCUGAGUCAUGAGGGAAGUCUAAACCACAGAAGUUCAUUCUCUUCAUUCAAAAGAGACGACUAAAAUAAAAAGGCCCCACUUCCAUCAUAGAAGCCUGGUUGCUACGCACAGUCCAUCAGAAACAAAAGCUCUACAACGCCCUAUGUAAUUAAUACUGUUGCAGCAGGUCGAUCUGUCACUCACAGAGUAUACUCCACUGUGGGGAGAAGCAGCAGCAAAGCAAACUUCAUCUGUCCCACAGAAGACAUUACCAAUAAACAGCAGCAGUUGCGAAAACCAGUGAGUGCCUACGUGGAUUUUGCCCAGCAAUUUGUAUAAUUGCCUGCUGAGCAGACGAAAUUAUUUUGCUUGGCUUCUGUGAGUCACGGAGCUGAUCCCUACCAUUUUCUGGAGCUCACCUGGCUAGAUGGUUAUGUCCUGGUCCUAUAAUCAAACCUAUAAAGGAAGUAUAUGGCCUGUCUUCAGGAUCAAGGAAGAUCAAGGCUGUAGUAUAAGGGUGGGGCAAACCUGAGAAUGCUUAUUAAAGGAAGAGCUGGCAAUGAUGCCUUCUGUUGAGGUCAUCCUGAGUUUUCUUAUGUUUCAAGCAUUAACACGAUGGCUUCUUUUACAUCUGUCUUUCUUCCAUGCUCUCUUAUUUUUAGAGUAAGAAGAGGUGAAAAGGUCCCAGGAUUCUAAAUGUUCAAACUUGCGACUGUCACCUCUUUUUCUUGCUCUCACGCUGAAGUCACAUCCUAAGAGAUUUCAAGAAUCUGUCAUAGGAUCAUAGAGUGGCCUGGGUUGGAAAGGACCACAAAGAUCAUGUAGUUUCAACCCACUGCUAUGCACAGGGUCGCCAACCACUAGACCAGGCUGCCCAGAGCCACAUCCAGCCUGGCCUUGAAUGCCUCCAGGGAUGGGGCAUCCACCAGUCAAUAAACUGGUACCCUGAAUCUGUAUUUCCUGUGGCUAUAAGGUACACUUUGGUUCCUAUGUUCCUUCAAGUGCUUGGUUGAAAUAAAACCGCUCUUCUCCUCGCACCAGAAGACGCAUUGGAUCCACUCAAAGUAUGACAUGUUUAUCCUGACAAAAUAACCGUGGCUGAGGCAGGACCCUUAGCACCCUAAGGCGCCCGUGGCUCCCACCUGGCUGCAGCCGCCAUACAGUUGGCCCGGCAGCGCCCUGCGCCUCCGGGAGCCAGGCCAGGUUUCUAGGAAAGAAAACAAAACGUUUUGCUCAGCCGGGUUCUGAGAGCCCGGCCAAACAUGUACACGCACAGGCGCUGGGCGGUAACGCCACAAGGCACGCUCGGAGCAGGCCGGCAGAGGCGCAGCGCUACACCAGCUCCGGUGUGAGCCGUAGGGGGUGUUCGGGCACAAAGCCGCACAGAGACCCCGACGCCACACGCGCUUUCUGUCGACCCGACCGCGGCCACCGCCGCGCACGCGCCUCGGGUGUGAGUCGAUGAGGAGGGGCGGGGGGGGGAAUGCAGGGAAAGCACGCGACAUCCGGGCAUUUCGCCCUGCCCCGUGGCCACGCCCCUCCAGAGCCGAGAAGGAGCCGUCUCUUCGCCUCGCGCGCGCGUGCCCGCCCGCCUCCCGCGCG
ensembl:lncRNA